GAAGGUAUAGCUUGGUGGUAGAGUGUGUUCCUAGCAUGCGUUAGUUCCUGGGUUCAAUCCCCAGUACAUCCA
rnacentral:tRNA from 1 species